AUUGCAGAAUUCCGCGAAUCAUCGAAUCUUUGAACGCAUAUUGCGCCUGAGCCUUCUGGCUUGGGCAUGCCUGCCUCAGCGUCG
rnacentral:rRNA from 1 species